GACGAACGCUGGCGGCGUGCUUAACACAUGCAAGUCGAACGGAAAGGCCCUGCUUUUGUGGGGUGCUCGAGUGGCGAACGGGUGAGUAACACGUGAGUAACCUGCCCUUGACUUUGGGAUAACUUCAGGAAAAUGGGGCUAAUACCGGAUAGGAGCUCCUGCUGCAUGGUGGGGGUUGGAAAGUUUCGGCGGUUGGGGAUGGACUCGCGGCUUAUCAGCUUGUUGGUGGGGUAGUGGCUUACCAAGGCUUUGACGGGUAGCCGGCCUGGGAGGGUGACCAGCCACAAUGGGACUGAGAUACGGCCCAGACUCCAACGGGAGGCAACAGUGGGGAAUAUUGCACAAUGGGCGGAAGCCUGAUGCAGCAGCGCCGGGUGCGGGAUGACGGCCUUCGGGUUGUAAACCGCUUUCGCCUGUGACGAAGCGUGAGUGACGGUAAUGGGUAAAGAAGCACCGGCUAACUACGUG
rnacentral:rRNA from 1 species